rnacentral:pre_miRNA from 1 species
NCUGGUUUCCGUGUCCAACGUUUGACCGUUCGUCUUAUUUGAAAAAAUUAUGAAAAAAUUAAAAAGAUAAGUCACAUAUAAAGUAUUAAUCAUGUUUUAUCAUCUAACUAAUUAUAAAAUUUUUUUAUGUAAAAUGGAUAGUCAAACGUUGAUACGGAAAUUUAGGGUUUGUCUAUUU